UAUAGAGGCGAACGCCAUAAGGUUAGAAACUGCAGGAGGAGAACAAAAGAGCACAAUAACGAGGCACACAAGCUGUAGGUGCAGAAUAAGGAAACAACAAAAUGAAAAGCCUGUAAAGUCUUAAAACAAGAGGUUGACAUUUACAACGCACGGAAAAUUUCAAAAAAAAAAUUCGCAGCACUAAACAAAUUUAGGAGAAAGGACAUCAAAAAUUCCAUAAGCUCAUGUCACACACAUAGGAAGUGGCAAGGAGGAUUCAGAAAUGCAACGUACAUUCAGUGCUGACGAGCAUUAGGUGCUCCUGUGACCCCACCGGCACUUUCUUUAUCGUCGAGCUCGAUCCGGAACAUCAUCUUUCCCUCUGGGAAGGAAUCCUUAUUUUUCAGUGAAUCACUGUCUAUCCUGAAU